ensembl:snRNA
AGAAAAGUAUUCUUUUUCACGUCUGUAUUGAAAGCAAAAUAUUAUGUAGGACAGCUCCAUUGCUCUUCGUGAGGAAUUGACAUCAAGAGAUUUCGGAAGCAUAAUUUUUUGGUACCUGGGCAGCUGGUAAUCCUGGGUCCCAGUGCUCCU